UCUGGAAGAUUCAAUUUCGAUAAAGUGUUAUUGUAAAUGAACGCCAUUGUGCCCAUCAGUGCUCCAAAAUCCUUUCCCAGGUUGACAAGUUUUCAUGAGCAAGCUUCCUGAUCUUUUAUGGAUUCAUUCUGUUGAUACUUUUUCAAGUCUUUUGCCAUUUCUACAGGAACUCAUUCAGAAUAACCAGUUUCAUUCAUUUAUCGGGAUGACUGGAAUAUAGCUCAAGUGGUAUAAGAACAUCAACGCAUGAUGAAGCUGGGAUGACCCCUUUCAACACAUCAUCUUAGUGGUAAUGCUCUGUUUCUUACCCGCCUUGUUUAAGAAAUGAUAGCAUACCUUUAUGUGUCUUUGGGAUGUUCAAGAGAUAUGGAGGGUGUCCACAUGAACCUGAGAGUAAUGGAAUGACCUUAUCUUUACAUCACAGCUGUGAACCUGAGGUUUCAACUUUUUUGCAAUUGACUGGUAAAGUACAUUUCAGAUGAACAUAUGUACAAGUCUGUUGCGUAUGGGCUUCUUUCGGCUUUCUGGAUGGGCUUAAGUUUGUUCUUCUCUAUGACUAGCCAUGCUGACCCCAGGUAUUGUUUUUACCUCAUUUUCUUUUUAGUGGAGAUAUUGCCUUCAAGAGAUAUUUCAAGUAGAUUUUUGUUAAUUAUGUGCAUUUUUUUCUUGCAUCCAUCUGAUUAGAUUUAUCAAUACCAAUUAGAGCUGAAAUCCCUUAUCAGCCUAACAAAUACUUCUAAAAUCCCUUAUUUUUUAGCAAGUCAAAUUGUUCAACUUCUUUGUCCCAUUGGCCAUUUCGUCUAUGAUCAUAGUCUAACUUCUGUUUCUACGAACCUAAAAUAUUUAUUUGUUGAAGUUGUUCAACUUCUUUGUCCCAUUGCUUUGUGUUUUCAGUGUUGCUUUCCAACAUACAAAUUAAAGUCAUUGUCUGUUAGCUUUGAAUUGUCAAGUAGUACUUAAAGGCAAGGCAGAGGGAGAAAGAAAGUAGGGAAACAAUGGAUGGAUGGGUAGACUUUAGACUCUGGAAAGAGCACAGAAACGAAACAACUAAAAAUUUGCCAAUAACACAGAAAUCGAGAUUUGUAUCUCUUUUCUACCUUGCCUCUCUUGCUUCGUUUCCCCCUCUAUCUAUAGUUCUCUCUCUCAACCCACUCAGAGAGCACAUGAUCUUUUCUUAAACCCAACUCUCUUUGUGAAAGAAACAGAAACCCAAUUCACAUGCAGCUCCUAUGAACCAUAAGCAGCAGCCCCCCUUUAUCAUAUGCUUUUUUAGUCGUCUAGUAUUUGUACUCAUCAUACAACUACUAUAUGCUAGGAGAGGAAGACCAAGGACUUGUCUUUCUUAACCAUCAUGACAAAAAAGCUAGGGGAGUAGUAUCAUGUGUCAAAAGUAUAUAUGUGUAUAGAAGAGAAAGAGAGGGAGAAAAAAGGAGGAAGCCUCUCAUGCGUCCUUCUCGAUGGGAGGAAAGUAGCAUUCAUUGAUAAUAUAUAACAUGAAUUGACAACUGAAUUUGGAGGAGUACACAUUGAAAGAGAAACGAACGAUAGAGGGAGAGAGUACUAUCCAUCAUCACCUCUUGUUUUUUAUAGGCCAUGUAAUCCAAAAAAAUGCAUUAAAAUACCAAACAUUAAUAACUUUUUUAUGACCUGUAGGGAUCGUUUGCUCUAUGGGGCUUGAAAUUGGAGUUUGGAUGAAAUAGUGUAUCUAAACAAAAUUAUUAUUUUUCUGUAGAUUAGAGUUGGGGUUUCAGAAUAGUUUUGUAUUUUAGGACAGUGAGGAGUGCACUCCCCUGUAUUCGAACUUGGAAUCUCCAAGCUGAAAACCUCUACACCUUGUUUGCAUGUCUCAUGUCUUAGCACACUACUAAAAUGGAAAUACACCAUCCCUAAAACCCAACUUCCAAGCAAAGAAUUUCAGCACAAAAAAUCAUAUUUUCAAAUACACUAUCUACAAUAAGCACAAACCCUACAGAGCAAACGACCCCUUAAAAGCCAGUAAUUGCAGAUGCAGGCUGGCAAAGUGGGCAAUGAAUCUACCCUUUCUUGUGCUUUCUGAGCAACAACGGCAAUGUAGUGUUUGAAAAGGUGGGUUUAUAGUACUACAAUGCCUGUGGCUGGGGCUGGCUAUGCAGUAUGAAAACUGGCAUCAGAAGUGUACAGUAUACGUUUAACGAGGGUUUGGGCACGACAAAGAGAGAGGCUUGCUUCAUCCUUUUUCCCUCAGUCCUUUCUCUGUGCAUCUGUCAUGCCGCCCUAUAUUUCCACCAGCUGUAACUCUCCUGCUCCAAUGCUUAUGAUACAUCCAUGUCUGUAGCCUUCUGACCCGCUAGUUAAGCUAUUGUUUAGCCUUUUCACUCUUUCUCUCUCGCAAGUCUCUUUCCUCUUAGCUGUCUAUCAGCGUGGUGCUUCCCUUUUAAUUUACUGUUCCAAGAGGUGGGUUUACCGCCUUUAUUGCUUUUCUCAUCCAACUCCUUUUGACACCUUCGCUUCCCUCUUCCAUCCUUCGUCUAUAUAUUUUACUCAACAACUUCAUCCAAUUCCAUAUAGCCCCAAAACAUGCUUUCUUUAUCCCUUUUCCUCAUUGUCCAUGCUAUUCCAGUUUAGUUUUGAAAACGAUAAUCCUAACAGUAAUCCUGUAUUGUGCUCGUAUCUCCUUUACUUCGGUUAUCUGUUUUUCUUUCCACAAAUUCUAGACUAGUCGGUAGAUUUUGAGAUCCAUUCUUGUUGGUUCUUGUCUGUGUUUAUUUUCCGUCUAUACAUCUUACUCUACAGAGUCAGCACUAACAGUUAACAGUGUAUCUACCAAUUUUUUCUUCAAUUCAUGCAAGUCUGGUAUGAUUUUCUGAAAUGAUUUCCAUCUUUUACUCAUAUGAAAACAUUUUAGCCGAUAUAACUGCAAUGUAUUUUAUUUGGGUAGUUGUUGUUAUUGGAUAUGUCGACGAGUUAUUGCUUCUGAUUCAGACAAGUUCUAAGUUUUUGGUUUUUAUACUUCAGACAGGUUCUAAAUUUUUACUAGUUGAUAUGCUCUACCAGUGUUGAUUAUUUGAAUUGGAAUAUAUGAUUUCAUGAUUCAUAAAAAACAUUUUUUCUUCCUCGAUCAUAUGUUAUUCUCCAUAUAUGUAUAUUGGUUGAGAGAACUUGAGACUUGAGAGGUGAGGUGUUGAUGUCUUGUGAGGAAGAAGAUAUUGUCCACAGGGGAAGCAGUGAAGCUGCCAGCAUGAUCUAGCUUUGGCUAGUUUGCAACGAAGGUAGAAUGAAGUAGUAGUCGUGAGCUAACCCUAGCUAGGUCAUGCUAUGACAGCCUCAUUCCUUCCCAUUUUGAGGGACCCCAGUAGACCAAGAUUCUCAUCUGUUUGACACUGUUCAGUCACUUCUUGGAGUGUUUUGAGUGAGACAGAAAACAAAGUCGAAGAAGAAAUAACAAAUCACUGUAAAGUAUAUUCCUUUCUUUUGCAUCUCCUUCCAUGGUGUUGUCUGGCAUGCGCAUACUUGCUUUCAGCUUUCUCAUUCUCAUCACUGUUUUGUAUCAGUCGGCCCAAUGUUCGUCAUUUUGGGUGUUUAUUUCGGUUUCUGAAGGAAAUAUCAAAUAGCGGAGUGGAUACUGUCGCAGGAAUUAAGAAGCCAGUGAAAGAAACCAAACUAAUGGCAGCAUGAUUCAAAUAGGAUCUGAGGAGUGAGGUCUGUUGUAUCUGCUCGUUAACUUGCAGAAGGAAGUUUCCUUCAGUUUCACCAUUGCACACAGUUCUAGUAGUUUUGUUGUUUAUUUGCUGAAGAACUGCUAAUUCUUUAUACCUUCUUGGUAGGAAGUUAUAGACCACAAAACACAAGUGUGUUGUAUCAAUAGGCUUUUGAUUGUAUUAUUAUACUGACACGGUUUGUUUGGUAGACAUUAUAGUUUGUACAAUCCUCAAAAUUUGGUUGGGAGAUUUGGACUCAUAGGCGAUUUGGAGUCGAAUAACUCAUUUAAACACUUAAA
rnacentral:lncRNA from 1 species